AAAUUNNNNNNNNNNGCCACUGCACUCCAGCCUGGGUGACAGAGCAAAACUCUGUCUCAAAAAAAAAGAACUGGGAUUACAGGCACCCACCACCACAACAAGCUAAUUUUCUUAUUUUUAGUAGAGAUGGGGUUUUGCCAUGUUGGCCAGGCUGGUCUCGAUCUCCUGACCUCAGGUGAUCCACCUGCCUUGGCCUCCCAAAGUGCUGGGAUUACAGGCGUGAGUCACCACGCCCAGCCAGAUUUUUAAAAACUUUAGAAGAAAGGACAUUUUGACAUUUUUCUGGAUUAGAGAUAUUAACUGUGGUGCCCUGGCUACAGUAGUUUCGAAGAAUUUUCUCUAGUUAGCUUGCUGCCUCAUGAGCCAACUUAGUUUAUGAUGAUUAAUUUUUUUUUUAAUUAUGACUU
rnacentral:lncRNA from 1 species